rnacentral:rRNA from 1 species
CAGAGGUCCCAAGCGUUAGGCGGAAUCACUGGGCUUAGAGCGUGUGUAGGCGGAUUUGUAAGUACCUUGUGAAAUCCCACGGCUCAACCGUGGAACUGCUUGGUAUACUGCUUAUCUUGGGCCAUCUAGGGGCGAGCGGAACAAACGGUGGAGCGGUGAAAUGCGUAGAUAUCGUUUGGAACGCCAAUGGUGAAAACAGCUCGCUGGGGAUGUGCCGACGCUGAGAUACGAAAGCCAGGGGAGCGAACGGG